UUUUUCCCUCUUCCUCCUUUCACGAUGGAGCCAGACCCUGCACGCAGCAGACACGGACUGAGGACUUCAUGUAUUCCAGAUUCUCCCCACAGCAACUGGAAGAAGUAGCUGACGUUGCUCUCCCCAUUUUACAGAUGUGAGAAUGGAAGAAGUUAAGAUGGAUCCAAGCCAGUUGAUGAGGAAACUGAGGCUCAGAGAGGGGAAGUAACUUACCCAAGACUGCACAGCAGUAAGCGGCAGAACCUGGACCCAGCCCCUGGCUCCAGACCCCCACUGCUCUGCUGACCUGCAGGGGCCUCGAAUCAACAUAAAGCCUUUCACCCCUAGCCUGCUCCUGUCUCAACCUCAACCUCCAGAGAACAUCCAUCCUCCAUGGAGCCUCCCAGCCUGAGCCCUCUGAGCUGCCUCCCUUCUUCUCUCCCCUCAGCCCAGGCUUCCCUAUCACCCCACAGAGAGCCUCGGAGCCACCCUUGGGAGCUUCACAGCUGCCUGGCUUUGGGAUCUUUGCUCUGAGAGACCCCAAGAUGGAGCAGCAGCCCCUAUGCUGUGGCCCACCGGGCAGGCUUGGUUUUAUGCCAUCUUCCCAGCUACCCCUUGGGGUACGGGUUUUAUCACCCCCUUAUACAGAAGGGGUCAGGGAUCAAAGCAGGCAAGCCAUUUGCCCAGAACCACACAGCUGUUGCCAGAGUUGGGAUCCAAAUGCAGGACUGUCCUUGGCCAUACCGCCUUCUGGAUGUCCCUACAGUGGCUCUGCCCAGUCAAGAGCCCCUGUUGCCCGGGGAGACCCCUCUUCACAUCCUCAUGACAAUGACAAUCCCACGAGUUAAACAUUUCACAUGGAUUCUUGCCUUUAGUUUUUCCCAACAACCUGCAGGGGAGGGGCAAUCAUCACACCCAUUUUACAGAC
rnacentral:lncRNA from 1 species